rnacentral:tRNA from 1 species
AGUCAAAUAGCUUAAUUAAAGCAUAUAUUUUGAAAAUAUAAGAAAAGGAAUAACUACCUUAUUGACUU